GAUGAACGCUGGCGGCGUGCCUAAUACAUGCAAGUCGAGCGAACAGAUAAGGAGCUUGCUCCUUUGACGUUAGCGGCGGACGGGUGAGUAACACGUGGGUAACCUACCUAUAAGACUGGGAUAACUUCGGGAAACCGGAGCUAAUACCGGAUAACAUUUGGAACCGCAUGGUUCUAAAGUGAAAGAUGGUUUUGCUAUCACUUAUAGAUGGACCCGCGCCGUAUUAGCUAGUUGGUAAGGUAACGGCUUACCAAGGCGACGAUACGUAGCCGACCUGAGAGGGUGAUCGGCCACACUGGAACUGAGACACGGUCCAGACUCCUACGGGAGGCAGCAGUAGGGAAUCUUCCGCAAUGGGCGAAAGCCUGACGGAGCAACGCCGCGUGAGUGAUGAAGGGUUUCGGCUCGUAAAACUCUGUUAUUAGGGAAGAACAAACGUGUAAGUAACUGUGCACGUCUUGACGGUACCUAAUCAGAAAGCCACGGCUAACUACGUGCCAGCAGCCGCGGUAAUACGUAGGUGGCAAGCGUUAUCCGGAAUUAUUGGGCGUAAAGCGCGCGUAGGCGGUUUCUUAAGUCUGAUGUGAAAGCCCACGGCUCAACCGUGGAGGGUCAUUGGAAACUGGGAAACUUGAGUGCAGAAGAGGAAAGUGGAAUUCCAUGUGUAGCGGUGAAAUGCGCAGAGAUAUGGAGGAACACCAGUGGCGAAGGCGACUUUCUGGUCUGUAACUGACGCUGAUGUGCGAAAGCGUGGGGAUCAAACAGGAUUAGAUACCCUGGUAGUCCACGCCGUAAACGAUGAGUGCUAAGUGUUAGGGGGUUUCCGCCCCUUAGUGCUGCAGCUAACGCAUUAAGCACUCCGCCUGGGGAGUACGACCGCAAGGUUGAAACUCAAAGGAAUCGACGGGGACCCGCACAAGCGGUGGAGCAUGUGGUUUAAUUCGAAGCAACGCGAAGAACCUUACCAAAUCUUGACAUCCUUUGAAAACUCUAGAGAUAGAGCCUUCCCCUUCGGGGGACAAAGUGACAGGUAGUGCAUGGUUGUCGUCAGCUCGUGUCGUGAGAUGUUGGGUUAAGUCCCGCAACGAGCGCAACCCUUAAGCUUAGUUGCCAUCAUUAAGUUGGGCACUCUAGGUUGACUGCCGGUGACAAACCGGAGGAAGGUGGGGAUGACGUCAAAUCAUCAUGCCCCUUAUGAUUUGGGCUACACACGUGCUACAAUGGACAAUACAAAGGGCAGCUAAACCGCGAGGUCAUGCAAAUCCCAUAAAGUUGUUCUCAGUUCGGAUUGUAGUCUGCAACUCGACUACAUGAAGCUGGAAUCGCUAGUAAUCGUAGAUCAGCAUGCUACGGUGAAUACGUUCCCGGGUCU
rnacentral:rRNA from 1 species